AAAAUAUGCACGCACAUCUGAUGAUUUUUUGGCAAGAACCCGAAAACGGGAGAAUUUGCAUCGAAGGAUCUGAGAGCAGUUGCACUUCAUCAGUUUGCUGUCCAGAGAUGCUGCAGGCACCUACAUCCUUGAAGAGCUGGACAGCACUUCCUUCUUUAAAGACACUGCAGGACCCCGUCUUUAAGUCAUGGGGUGUCCAUGAGUCGCCAUGCGUUGGUUUUGUCUAAAGACAGAGAAUUCUAGAAGGGAGAGGUUACAGGCUGCAAGUAGACAGAGGUAAGAGAUGCCUGAGUUUCUCCAUGUUGGAAGGAGUUUUUCUCCCUCAGAGGGGAUGGAAGGAGCUUGUCUGGAAGCUACAUUUCUGAAGCAGCAGAAUUCCCCACAGGGUAUGGAGUGGAUCAAUAAACACCAGGUUUUCCCAUGAAUCACAGAUGUGUACUUCCUGUGAGACUUUUAUCCAUUCGGUAUUUCUGUGUGCUGUGGCUUAGGAUGGUACCCGUGGAGGUUUCCAGAGCUGAAAGCCAGCUGAGCAGCUUCCGUGGUGGCACCAGUGUGGUCAGCAAUGGCACUGAUCAUAUCUCCACAGCCUUGGGGAGCAUGGCCAGAAGAAAGCCGACAUGCAGACAUGCACCAGGAGGCCACAAGGAGGAAUGAAUGAUUAUAAGGAAGCAAAGGCCGGACAAGGGAAAGGCCUGGUGCUCUGGCUGUGGCAGUGGGAAGAAGUGACUUACUCUGGGGAGAGAACUUUGGGAAAUGGUGCCCAAGCAGACACAGUGUGGGUGAGGCCUGGUGGCGGGUGAGGGGAGCCAGAGCUCCACUCUUGGUCAGACGUAGUGUGCAGAAGGGCACCCUCUCUGGGGACACUCUAGUACUCAGGUGUAGGUAAAGAUGACAGCCAGGCUACUGAGUACAAGAAAAGUGGGCAGGAAGGUGGAAGGGCUGCAGGCACGUACACUUAGAGGCCACCUUUCCAGUCCUCAUCAUACGGCAUGCGCUACGACACACUGCUCAUCUCAACAUCAUGGAAGGGUCCUCGGAGGAUGUGCGGCGGGAACACCCCUGCCGGAGUCAGGAGCAGGCGGCACACUGGCUCUGGUCCUCAUGCCGACCUCACCUCCCAGUGGGCUGAGAGUCUGCAAUCAAAGAAGCCUGCUGAAAUGGAGAGAACAGAGCUGA
rnacentral:lncRNA from 1 species